AGCGAACGCUGGCGGCAGGCUUAACACAUGCAAGUCGAGCGGGCAUCUUCGGAUGUCAGCGGCAGACGGGUGAGUAACACGUGGGAACGUACCCUUCGGUUCGGAACAACUCUGGGAAACUGGAGCUAAUACCGGAUACGCCCUUAUGGGGAAAGGUUUACUGCCGAAGGAUCGGCCCGCGUCUGAUUAGCUAGUUGGUGGGGUAACGGCCUACCAAGGCGACGAUCAGUAGCUGGUCUGAGAGGAUGAUCAGCCACACUGGGACUGAGACACGGCCCAGACUCCUACGGGAGGCAGCAGUGGGGAAUAUUGGACAAUGGGCGCAAGCAUGAUCCAGCCAUGCCGCGUGAGUGAUGAAGGCCUUAGGGUUGUAAAGCUCUUUUGUCCGGGACGAUAAUGACGGUACCGGAAGAAUAAGCCCCGGCUAACUUCGUG
rnacentral:rRNA from 1 species